rnacentral:rRNA from 1 species
GACGAACGCUGGCGGCGUGCUUAACACAUGCAAGUCGAACGGAAAGGCCCUGCUUUUGUGGGGUGCUCGAGUGGCGAACGGGUGAGUAACACGUGAGUAACCUGCCCUUGACUUUGGGAUAACUUCAGGAAACUGGGGCUAAUACCGCAUAUGAGCUCCUGCUGCAUGGUGGGGGUUGGAAAGUUUCGGCGGGUGGGGAUGGACUCGCGGCUUAUCAGCUUGUUGGUGGGGUAGUGGCUUAGCAAGGCUGUGACGGGUAGCCGGCCUGAGAGGGGGACCGGCCACAUUGGGCCGGCGAUUCGGGCCGGAAGCCGACGGGAAGCAGAAGUGGGGAAUGGUGGACAAAGGGAGGGAGGCUGAGGCAGGAAUGACGGCUUCCGGGUGACGGCCUUCGGGUUGUAAACCGCUUUCGCCUGUGACGAAGCGUGAGUGACGGUAAUGGGUAAAGAAGCACCGGCUAACUACGUG